UGGUUGCAAGGGCACUUAUUGUGAGGAUGUCAUUGGCAGAUUGGCCCUUCCUUGACUGAUACUGCUUACCAUCUAAGAUUAAAAACACAAAGAACAUAUAUUACUAUAUAGGCAAACAUAAAAAACCUGAGUUGGACAAGAAUAAUAGGCAACUAACUGGUUGUCAAGAUGAUAUCCUUGCAGCUUGAUUCCAUACGCCUCUUCCUCUU
rnacentral:lncRNA from 1 species